AUGGAGAACAAACGGGCCGACAUAAAAACAAACCUGUAUUAAGAAUUCUGGAGCAAAUUUGACCAAAUCCUUGACAGGAGAAGCUUAGAGGCAGCUGCUCUUUCUUAUA